UUGCCUACGGGAGGCAGCAGUGGGGGAUAUUGCACAAUGGGGGGAACCCUGAUGCAGCGACGCCGCGUGGGUGAAGGAGCGUUUCGGCGCGUAAAGCCCUAUCAGCAGGGAAGAAAAUGACGGUACCUGACUAAGAAGCCCCGGCUAACUACGUACCAGCAGCCGCGGUAAUACGUAGGGGGCAAGCGUUAUCCGGAUUUACUGGGUGUAAAGGGAGCGUAGACGGCAGCGCAAGUCUGGAGUGAAAUGCCGGGGCCCAACCCCGGAACUGCUUUGGAAACUGUGCAGCUCGAGUGCAGGAGAGG
rnacentral:rRNA from 1 species